rnacentral:lncRNA from 1 species
CUAAGUUCUGGGAAGAGGCGUCCAAACUGAGAAAGCAUGGGUGGGGGGCGGUUUGCAGCCUGCAUGCUGCCCGUUGUGCACCUGCAGAGGGAGGAAGCCAGGGAGCGCAGCCAAGGGCCAGGCGGUGUUGCAUCAGAGGGCUAAGCUGUGGGAUCAAAUGUUGGGGGUGGCAGGGGGGCUCCUGCUGCCAUUGGCCUUUCCAGCCGGGGAAGGGAGGGGGUCACCGGAAAUGGCCCCAGGUCAGAUAAGCUGAGAGAAGGAAGCAGAAUAGCUGGAAAGACCAGGGAUCACCUCCCACACUUACUCCAGCAGCUGACGGGCGACAGAGCCGCUGCAAGUGGCAUCCCCAGGCCUAGAGGGCGUCCCAAGGAUCCCCAGACCCAGCAGCGCACCCACCAUGCUGCCCUGCCUGGCCCUGCUUCUCUUGGCGGGGCUGUCCAAGGGCGCCACGGCAGGCCACAGCGGAGAGGAACUGGUACCCAGCCCUAAAGCUCGGCCCUGGGUGACCGUGACCCUGGAGGUCGCCGUCCCCAGCAUUCAGCUCCAGCUGCAGGAGGCCAAGCGGUUCUUCGGGCUGAUGGGGAAGCGGGUGGGAGGUGUCCCUCGGAUCUGGCCAGGGCUGGCAGGGCAUCAGCUGGGAGAAGCGGAACAAGGCCUCCUGGGCAGGGGAGGACUCUCGACGGAAGGUAGGCCAGAGCUGCUCGUGGGCAGUUUGGGCAACACGGGAAAGCGAACAGACAGAAAAGAUGCCCAGAAGCCCUUGCAUGGAGGCCUCAUGCGGAGGGCAGCCU